GAUGAACGCUGGCGGCGUGCCUAAUACAUGCAAGUCGAGCGAACGGACAAGGAGCUUGCUCCUUUGAAGUUAGCGGCGGACGGGUGAGUAACACGUGGGUAACCUACCUAUAAGACUGGAAUAACUCCGGGAAACCGGGGCUAAUGCCGGAUAACAUGUUGAACCGCAUGGUUCAACAGUGAAAGACGGUCUUGCUGUCACUUAUAGAUGGACCCGCGCCGUAUUAGCUAGUUGGUGGGGUAACGGCCUACCAAGGCGACGAUACGUAGCCGACCUGAGAGGGUGAUCGGCCACACUGGAACUGAGACACGGUCCAGACUCCUACGGGAGGCAGCAGUAGGGAAUCUUCCGCAAUGGGCGAAAGCCUGACGGAGCAACGCCGCGUGAGUGAUGAAGGUCUUCGGAUCGUAAAGCUCUGUUGUUAGGGAAGAACAAAUGUGUAAGUAACUGUGCACGUCUUGACGGUACCUAACCAGAAAGCCACGGCUAACUACGUGCCAGCAGCCGCGGUAAUACGUAGGUGGCAAGCGUUAUCCGGAAUUAUUGGGGCGUAAAGCGCGCGUAGGCGGUUUUUUAAGUCUGAUGUGAAAGCCCACGGCUCAACCGUGGAGGGUCAUUGGAAACUGGAAAACUUGAGUGCAGAAGAGGAAAGUGGAAUUCCAUGUGUAGCGGUGAAAUGCGCAGAGAUAUGGAGGAACACCAGUGGCGAAGGCGGCUUUCUGGUCUGCAACUGACGCUGAUGUGCGAAAGCGUGGGGAUCAAACAGGAUUAGAUACCCUGGUAGUCCACGCCGUAAACGAUGAGUGCUAAGUGUUAGGGGGUUUCCGCCCCUUAGUGCUGCAGCUAACGCAUUAAGCACUCCGCCUGGGGAGUACGGUCGCAAGACUGAAACUCAAAGGAAUUGACGGGGACCCGCACAAGCGGUGGAGCAUGUGGUUUAAUUCGAAGCAACGCGAAGAACCUUACCAAAUCUUGACAUCCUUUGACCGCUCUAGAGAUAGAGUUUUCCUCUUCGGAGGACAAAGUGACAGGUGGUGCAUGGUUGUCGUCAGCUCGUGUCGUGAGAUGUUGGGUUAAGUCCCGCAACGAGCGCAACCCUUGAGCUUAGUUGCCAUCAUUAAGUUGGGCACUCUAAGUUGACUGCCGGUGACAAACCGGAGGAAGGUGGGGAUGACGUCAAAUCAUCAUGCCCCUUAUGAUUUGGGCUACACACGUGCUACAAUGGACAAUACAAAGGGCAGCGAAACCGCGAGGUCAAGCAAAUCCCAUAAAGUUGUUCUCAGUUCGGAUUGUAGUCUGCAACUCGACUACAUGAAGCUGGAAUCGCUAGUAAUCGUAGAUCAGCAUGCUACGGUGAAUACGUUCCCGGGUCU
rnacentral:rRNA from 1 species